UCGCUCGCGUAGUUGUAUAAAGAGUUGUGCCCUGCAACACAUUUGUCAAAGAAGGAGAUUGGAGCUGCUUUGCAUCUUAUUCAAAUCUAGCCAUGGGAGAGAUGCUCAUUUUUGGCUUCCUUUCAGCUGGGUGUGCUCCAUAUUGUAAGAGAUGUAGAUGGUCAUUCCUUGCAGUAGAUACCACUUACGUACAAGUGGAGGGAUGAUAUAAGGGCUCCCUUCGUCACUCAGCAUACCUUAACAUAUUUCAAGUUUGAGCUAGUCAUGCACCACAAGCAAGAGAUAUUAUUAUGUUCAAUUAAAGUUUGCACAUUUUCUAUCUAUUUUUAAUAAUGAAUACUGUCAACUAACCUUCUUUUAACUUAUAUGCAAUUCAUUUUGAGACCAUAUAUAGCAGAUAUCUUAUAAGAGCAAUCCAUUCUUUAUAAAACUGAGUCACCUGUGGACUGCUUUGGUGCCACUCAUUUGCUUCCACAUCAUGGAGUGGCACCUACAUAAUCGAGUUAUGCAUUAGUUCAGCCAUCAAUAGCCGAUUCUACAUGCAUUCUACACAAGGUUGUAGCUAUAUGGCCGUACUGGCAUGAGAUUGAGGAACUUGAUCGAGGGGUCAUCGAUUGGAGAUCCUUCCACCAAAGGUGGAUCUAGUUUUCAGAGAAUCAACGCAAGCAUAUCAUCGACACAUAGUUAGAGGAAGGUCUUAUGCAUGUAGAGACCUAUACCUUAUAUAUAUUAGUCCAUUAAUGCCAAUUUUUAAAUAGGAUAGCAACUAUAUAUGAGCCUCAUAAGUAUACAUAUGCAUACAACUUUUUGACUACUAUUAUCAGUGUGUGUUAGAAUGACAUACGGUUCUUCUAUUUCCAAUGUAGAGCAUAUUAAAUUAGGUUGUAGCAGGGACUGCUGAUGAUUAUGUAUGGGGCUUGGCUACACAUGGGUUGGAGAGUCGAGGACACGUUGUAUGAUACCUUGUUUGGUAUUGGUCUGCUAUGUAUCAAUUUGUAUAUAGUAUAACAACUAUAUAUGAGCCUUGUAAUUAUGUAUCUACAUAGAACUUCAACUACUCUUAUAUGUGUUUGGAAUGACUAAUUGUUCUUUUGUUUUCAAUGUAGUCUUGACAUACUAAA